ACCAUCCGAGGAGAGUUUCCCAGCCGUGAUGUUCUCCGUCCCUUUUUAGCCUUUCCAAGAUGUGGUGUAUCUCUUCUGCAUCAUGAUGAACAGUGAUUAGAGCUUCCUGUCCACUGUUUUGGAUGCGUUCUAGCAGUCGACGCAGGUCAUCAUGUUGUAGUCGUUUCUUCACCAGUGUGAGAUUCAUUCCAAUGGGGGAGCUGCAGUAGCUGCUAUUGCUCUGAUGCAUCCUGGAGUGCCUUUAGCCACCACGUCCAGCUGUGUGGAGUAAAUAGGCCACUGGUCUACAGUGAGGACCUAGUUUUUGGAUUAGUCGACUCUGGUUCUGGUGUCUGUGGCGGACAGAUGAAUGAACUUUUGCCUUAAAUAUUUCUUGGAACAUAAGGUGCAAGCAAACCAUAACCCCGAACAAGCCCUCUGUUCCCGGCGGGAACAGGACUGAGCUGCUGCGACCCCCAAAAUGGUCUCCCUGCAACCAUUCAGGACACACCAAGCCUGCGCUGAACCAGACCACGAUCGGGCAGAGACUUUGGGACCUGGACUGUAAAUUACUGCUGCUUAGCACAACUUCUGUAAAGCUUGCUUAGCAUGAGUAGCUAAAUUUGCUGAAGCCUUAGGCCGCACUCCCUAGUUCAGUGAGAAAGGGCCCCAGAGCUGGUGCAGGCGGGAAAGACAAGGGA